GAGAGCAGGUAGGAUUCGUACAGUAGGAGCAUUCGUACAGUCCUUAUUCCUACCACUGUAGAAUACUUUGACAGGUCUGUGUUUGUGUGCGUGAGACCCACUCGCACGCAUAGGUUACUCGCGGGGUGAGACGUCAGUGCAGCCGCCGGCUUCGACGCAACGAGUCGUAACGUGAUUUCGCGCCAAGUAGGGGUGGGGUAGAUUCGUACGUGUACGAAUGCUCCUGAUCACCCAGAGUUAGUCAGGCCAUAUCCUAGAGUGGACAGAGAUUCAAUAAAGAAAACAAGGAAAGGAAAGCUACCAGGCAAAUCUAGAAUUUACACUGAUACUCCGGAAAAAGAUAGACUGGCAGAAAUAGAAAAAGGAAGACUAUUGAAGAAGCAAGUGCAAGAGAAAAAACAAAAAGCUAAGGCCAUCAAAGCUCUACAUCUUGUCUUAGAUGCAGAUAACGCAUCUUCAAUAAAGAGGAAAUCUCAAUCGAAAGAGUCAUUUAAUUUAAAGAAGCAAAAGAAAACUACAAAGACUGAUAAUGAAGCAAAUGCAUAUUAUAUGAUACCUAUGAAUACCUAAAUAAUAUAUCUUGGUUCUUAAUACAAAAAUGCUGAUUCUGUGUUAAAUUGAUCUCAAUAAAUGAUUAAAUUUAAUCAACAA